GCCUGUUUGGUGCAGUGGUUAUUGUGUUUGGUUGAAGACCCAGAGGUUGCUGGUUCGAUUCCCCCUGCCAGUUGCUA